AUAAAAACAGCUUUUUCUCCAAUUACAUAAUAGAAAUUUGAAUUAUAAUAUUAAAUGUUUUGUUAUACACGUAAUUAUAUAUAAGCAGUUUGAAAUCGAACUGCAAAACAAGCCUGUCGUUACAAGCUAGCAAUUCCAAGGUGUAGAAACAUAUAUCAAGCAAAUUAUUACUACAUCGAAGCUUGGUAGUAUAAACAGAAUAGGAUUUGGAAUGGCUUCAUGCACUAAAUUUAUUUUAAUGCUUGUGAUCAGCAGCUCUAUUAUUAUUAGGCAUCAAAUCUUAGGAUAUUCUCUGGCAGAACGGAUAUAUUAUUACAGAAUCUGUGAAAACUUGAGAGAGCAGAUAUUUCCCAGGUCUAGCUGUCAAGAAAUAAUGGAAAUGCAAAAUUGUGUGUGUCAACACUGUAGCAAUAUAAGAGAUAAAAGUUGUUUCCAGUUGUAUAUGUGUGUAUAACACAUUACAAAUAACCGAAUACAAUGUAUAUAAUAAAUGAUUUGUUACAAGGAAGAUAUAUAGAGGAAAAGAUGUUGAUGUGGUAAACAUCGGAAAUUGACCUCUUAAAUUUGUAUGAAUCUCGUUAUUACAGAAAGGUUGUGCUAUUUGUAAAUUAAAAAAGUACUUGAGA